CAGUAGCCACGGGAAUACGAGGGGGGCAAGCGUUGUCCGGAAUUAUUGGGCGUAAAGGGCUCGCAGGCGGUUUCUUAAGUCUGAUGUGAAAGCCCCCGGCUCAACCGGGGAGGGUCAUUGGAAACUGGGAAACUUGAGUGCAGAAGAGGAGAGUGGAAUUCCACGUGUAGCGGUGAAAUGCGUAGAGAUGUGGAGGAACACCAGUGGCGAAGGCGACUCUCUGGUCUGUAACUGACGCUGAGGAGCGAAAGCGUGGGGAGCGAACAGGAUUAGAUACCCCCGUAGUCCCUGUCUCUUAUAC
rnacentral:rRNA from 1 species